rnacentral:rRNA from 1 species
UACGAAGGGGGCGAGCGUUGUUCGGAAUCACUGGGCGUAAAGGGCGCGUAGGCGGCCCUCCUUGUCGCGUGUGAAAUCCCUGGGCUCAACCCAGGAACUGCACCUGAAACUACCAGUCUUGAGUGGUGGAGAGGGAAGUGGAAUUCCUGGUGUAGAGGUGAAAUUCGUAGAUAUCAGGAGGAACACCAGUGGCGAAGGCGGCCUCCUGGACACUAACUGACGCUGAGACGCGAAAGCGUGGGGAGCAAACAGG